GGGAGCAUAGCUCAGCUGGUUAGAGCGCAUGCUUGACAUGCAUGAGGUCACUGGUUCGAUCCCAGCUGUUCCCACCA
rnacentral:tRNA from 1 species